rnacentral:rRNA from 1 species
CCAGACUCCUACGGGAGGCAGCAGUGAGGAAUAUUGGUCAAUGGGCGCAAGCCUGAACCAGCCAAGUCGCGUGAGGGAUGACGGUCCUAUGGAUUGUAAACCUCUUUUGUCGGGGAGCAAGGCCCGCCACGUGUGGCGGGAAGGAGAGUACCCGAAGAAAAAGCAUCGGCUAACUCCGUGCCAGCAGCCGCGGUAAUACGGAGGAUGCGAGCGUUAUCCGGAUUUAUUGGGUUUAAAGGGUGCGUAGGCGGAAGGUUAAGUCAGCGGUCAAAUGUCGGUGCUCAACACCGGCCUGCCGUUGAAACUGGUCUUCUUGAGUGAGCGAGAAGUAUGCGGAAUGCGUGGUGUAGCGGUGAAAUGCAUAGAUAUCACGCAGAACUCCGAUUGCGAAGGCAGCAUACCGGCGCUCAACUGACGCUGAGGCACGAAAGCGUGGGGAUCGAACAGGAUUAGAUACCCGCGUA